rnacentral:rRNA from 1 species
GAUUUCCCAUGAACGAGGAAUUCCCAGUAAGCGCGGGUCAUAAGCUCGCGUUGAUUAAGUCCCUGCCCUUUGUA